GUGACAUGUUUUAAUUGAGUUUGAUAUGUUUAUUAAAACAAAAUUAUUGGAAGGGAUGCAUGCAGCUACUGCGAAUACCCAUUCAUUCAGUAAUUUAUUAAAUAAAAUGUAAAAAUUACAAUGAUACAUAUGACCUAUGCCUCUUAUAGAAAAAGAAAGUAGAAUACAACCACCAAAUUAAGGACAAGAGGGUAAAAACAAACACUUCUCAUUUCCAUAAAAUUUUUGCAGUAUUCUUUGCACAUUUCAGCGUCUAAUUCUUAAAUUAGAUAAUUUGGAUUUUCCAUCUUAUGCCGUUUAUGCAAAGACCUAUAUAUAGAAGGAUAAGAAACUCUCGUUUUGCCUAUCGCGUUUUUCUAUACUGCCUCCCAGCAGACGUGAUUCCGCGAGAGUCAGGUGCGCGUAGUUUGGAGAUGCCGGAAAUGGAAUUAAAUCCGCCGUUUAUCGCCAUUUUGUUUAAUCGAGUGCAUCAUUCAUUAUCGUAUUUUUCUUACAUUUAGCUAGAUAUAUAUUCUCCUGACUUGAAUUGGGAAGGAGACUUUGGAGCUGUGACAUCUGAGGGUACACGUUAUUCGUCAACUAUCAGGUCAUCAUCGUGUGAAUUGUUAACACCAAGAAAACUAAAUUGCAUCAAAUGCAAAAAUUACAGUUAUGCACUUGCGAAAAGGAAAAAGCGCUUGGGUGAUAGAAUAAUUCAUCCUAGGAAAUUCAGCCAUUCCAGCUUUAAACACUCAGAUAUGACCCGGGAUGAAUUGUGCCUUAAACUAAAGGAGCAAAAAGGAGAAAUUAGUGACUUAACAAAUACUGUAUGGAAAUUAAAAAGACAAUAUGAGAAUUCGAUAAGGAAGGAGGGUGUUUCAGUUAAGGAGCAUGAAAGUUUGGAAUUAAGCUCGUGAAUGGAUUCCUGAAGUGAACAAUUUAAGCAUUGCUUCCCAGAUAGUAACAAACGCAGCAAAUGCCAAAAAUGUCCGUACGCAAAAACAACGUAAUGCAAAAUUUUUAUUACACUAGUGAAAUGUGAAAAAUAUGUAAUGACUUUAUGCGAGUCAAACAUGUGAUAAGUAGAAUUAUUAUGUUGUAAUCUGAUUUUAUAAUAUAUUAUGUAUAGAAUUACUAUGUUGUUCUCUAAAUGUUGAUUUUAUGUAUAUAGUAUUCUAUAUGUAGUUUGCAUUGCAUGUAGAAUAGUAUCUAUAGUUUAUAUGUGUCACGUUCUGAGAAAACUGUGCAUAAUACCUGUGCGUAAAGCGUUAUCCCAGAUUAGCAUGUGCAGUCCUCACAGGCUAAUCAGGGACGACACUGUACGCCUUGUUAAGAUUUUUGGUAAGAAGAGACUUUUUUUAACAAAAAAUAACAUAAAAGCUGAAGUGUCGUCCCUGAUUAGCAUGUGCGGACUGCAAAGGCUAAUCUAGGAUGACACUUUACGCACAUGCAUUAAGCCCAGUUUUCUCAGAACAAGGCUCAUUUCUAUCUCGUACAAAUUUAUUACUGUUCAUACUCAUGAUAAUAUGAAAGAAAAUUAAAAUUAUGUUCUCCUGA